UGCUAAUACCGGAUAACAACACUAGACGCAUGUCUAGAGUUUAAAAGAAUGGUUCUGCUAUCACUCUUGGAUGGACCUGCGGUGCAUUAGCUAGUUGGUAAGGCAACGGCUUACCAAGGCAAUGAUGCAUAGCCGAGUUGAGAGACUGAUCGGCCACAUUGGGACUGAGACACGGCCCAAACUCCUACGGGAGGCAGCAGCU
rnacentral:rRNA from 1 species